UAUUGUGAGCUCAUCCUACCCCAGUAUGAUCUCAUUUUAACUAAUUAUGUAAUAACUCUAUUUACAAAUAAGGUCAAAAUCUGAGGUUCUAGGGGUUAGAACUUCAACAUUUGAAUGGGGGAGAGGACACACUUCAACCCAUAACAUCUAGCUGUUGUUAUGUCUUGCAAGGUCAGCAGCAAAUGGCAGAGGGCCAAGGUUUCACUUUUAGAGUUGGUAUUGUGUUCCCAGGUGUGUGUAAAUUCCAGCCCGCAGAGAAAUCAACCAGGAUUACCACUUUUGACUCCAGCCUGAAGAAGCCCACCCUCCAACCUUGAAAAGCUACUGAGCAGAGUUGACUACCCUCAAACUCCACUUCCAUACUAGGUACCUGUACUAUGAAUGCCAGCUGUUGUCUCAAGGUCACCACGAAGCCAGGAAUGGAAACAGGGACACAAUGGUUCCACCAGCCGUCUUGAGAAACGCAGAUGAACCCAUGCUAAGAAUGGUGGUGCAAACAGAUAGAAGAAGCCUGGUUCUCGUAACUUAGUGGUGCUACCACAUCAGCCUGUGAUGUUCCAUCUCUAAGCAUUUUUUAACAUAAGGUACUAAACAUUCUGUGUUUAAAAUAUUUUCAAGCCUUGGCAACAUAGUGAGAUCCAGUCUCUGCCAAAAAAUUAAGAAUUUGUGA